rnacentral:rRNA from 1 species
UAGUCCACGCCGUAAACGAUGAAUGCCAGACGUCGGGUAGCAUGCUAACGCAUUAAGCAUUCCGCCUGGGGAGUACGGCCGCAAGGUUAAAACUCAAAGAAAUUGACGGGGGCCCGCACAAGCGGUGGAGCAUGCGGUUUAAUUCGAUGCAACGCGAAGAACCUUACCAGGCCUUGACAUCCUCGGAACUUUCUAGAGAUAGAUUGGUGCCUUCGGGAACCGAGUGACAGGUGCUGCAUGGCUGUCGUCAGCUCGUGUCGUGAGAUGUUGGGUUAAGUCCCGUAACGAGCGCAACCCUUGUCCUUAGUUGCCAGCACUUUCAGGUGGGAACUCUAAGGAGACUGCCGGUGACAAACCGGAGGAAGGUGGGGACGACGUCAAGUUAUCAUGGCCCUUACGGCCUGGGCUACACACGUGCUACAAUGGAACGCACAGAGGGCAGCAAACCCGCGAGGGGGAGCGAAUCCCACAAAACGUUUCGUAGUCCGGAUUGGAGUCUGCAACUCGACUCCAUG